UACGGAGGAUCCAAGCGUUAUCCGGAAUCAUUGGGUUUAAAGGGUCCGUAGGCGGUUUGGUAAGUCAGUGGUGAAAGCCCAUCGCUCAACGGUGGAACGGCCAUUGAUACUGCCAGACUUGAAUUAUUAGGAAGUAACUAGAAUAUGUAGUGUAGCGGUGAAAUGCUUAGAGAUUACAUGGAAUACCAAUUGCGAAGGCAGGUUACUACCUAAUGGAUUGACGCUGAUGGACGAAAGCGUGGGUAGCGAACAGG
rnacentral:rRNA from 1 species